UCAAACUUGGUCAUUUAGAGGAAGUAAAAGUCGUAACAAGGUUUCCGUAGGUGAACCUGCGGAAGGAUCAUUAAAAAUUUUGAUUCUAUAUCUACCUUUUUGUGCAUUUAUUGAAAGUAUUAAACUUUUGGGAGAGAUUUGUGUCUUUCCCAAAAGUUUUUUUAAAAACUUUUUUUUUAAAUAAUUGUCUAAAGAAAUUUUUUAAAAAUUUAAAUAAAACAACUUUCAACAACGGAUCUCUUGGCUCUCGCAUCGAUGAAGAACGCAGC
rnacentral:misc_RNA from 1 species